UACGUAGGGCGCAAGCGUUAUCCGGAAUUAUUGGGCGUAAAGAGCUCGUAGGCGGUUUGUCGCGUCUGCCGUGAAAGUCCGGGGCUCAACUCCGGAUCUGCGGUGGGUACGGGCAGACUAGAGUGCAGUAGGGGAGACUGGAAUUCCUGGUGUAGCGGUGAAAUGCGCAGAUAUCAGGAGGAACACCGAUGGCGAAGGCAGGGUCUCUGGGCUGGUAACUGACGCUGAGGAGCGAAAGCAUGGGGAGCGAACAGG
rnacentral:rRNA from 1 species